ensembl:lncRNA
GAUGCCAGACCGUCUACAGCAUCUACGCCUGUAGUGUUUUGGUAGCCCAUAAAACAAAGGACCAGUGUCCGGUGUGAAGGGAACAGCUGAGUUGGAGUUGAAGUCGAAAUCAAGGUUAGUAACUAUUGAUCUGAUGUCCAAAAACACUUGGCAGUCAUGUGUAAUAAUAGUAUUUCUGUACAAAAAAAGUAAAAGAUAAACAUGAAAAAAAGUUGGGUGGGAACUCAUAAAAUUUCGGCCUUCUCCGUCGGCACCAGGCUUUUAUAGUCCAGAUGGCCUGACUGGUCCAACGUUAAGCCAUAUUCAGAAUAGGGUGUUAUUUCCGACAUGCCCCAAGUUGUUCUGUCUAGCGGCUAGUCUAUCUUAUGGCCUGGCCUAGCUGAAGUGUGAGCGAUGGGACAGGUUUUUCCUCUGUUACUGGGUGUCGGCAACGUCAGCGGCUGAGCUCUCCGUGUUAUCGUGUGUCUCUCUGCUGACUGCAGCAAUGACUCAGAGGGACCCCGCCGCGCUACGUCGUGAUUUAGCACGGGAUGUAAAUCUGACAGGAAAGAUUUAUCGGAGACAAAAGCGCGUCUUAAUGUUUACACCCGCUGCGCCAAGAUUAAUUACACCCAAAGAAGAAGUACACAUCCAGGGAAAAUGUAGGGUUGAAAAAAAAAAAAAAAAAAAGGGUUGUACAUCCAUGUUAAUGCGGAAACUAGGGCCUUUUCUAAUUUGGGCAAAAGUCUGUCCUCUGCCCUCUCUCCUCCUUUACCUGGAAACCAAUAAGUGGUGGAGGAGUGUUAAUUUGUUUUUAUAAUUGUAUACAUUUAUUUGGGGAUUCCGGCCUGUAAACUCCAUUUGCCUGAUGACGCGCAAUUGGAGGAGUCAUUUCAUAAGCAUAUUGUCAUUCACAUUCCCUCGCCGCCCCUUCUCGAUUACCUUUGACCUCUUUCAAAAGGAUGCCAGAGAGGACGGAGGAGUUGAGCAAAUCCAAUUGAGAAAAGGCCCAUCUCCACUUGAUGUGACACGGUGUUAAUUGUGGAGAAGCUGAUUAGCACCGCACUGCCCUUUUCGCCAUGGCAACCCACUUUAUCCUAGCCAAGCCAAAAUCCCCCCUGGAUAUGUCACUGGAGCCUCAGAUGUCAUGGAAGAUGUACUAUAACUAUCUCAUGAUUCACCUGAAUGUGGGAUGCUAAAUCUUAGUGAGAAAUAUUGGAGUAAAUAUUACUUGAGUGAAAUUGGUAACACAACAAAUGCGUAGGUGUGAUUGUCAAAUAAACAAAGAACAUUCGUGGUGAUCUUCAUAUUCCAUUGGAAUCUACUGUUGGACUGCUGUGGAGGGCUGUUCUCCUAUAUACUGUAGAUGGUGUGAAAUGUGUGUGAAUGAGAGAGGGGCAGAGUGCAUGGAGACAGGUGUAUUAAAUUGGAUCAGCUCUCUCGCACGCACUGAGAUCAGCCAUUCAGUUACUGUGUAGACAAGCAGUAAGUAUAAAGGUCACUCGGCUGGCAUCUAGACAAGGUUGAAAUGAGCAGAGCAGC